rnacentral:rRNA from 1 species
CUUCCCUGAUACUUUAAGUAUCCUAAAGGGUUGUCGGAGACUACGACGUUGAUAGGUCAGGUGUGUAAGUGCUGUGAGGCAUUGAGCUAACUGAUACUAAUUGCCCGUGAGGCUUAACCAUACAACACCCAAGGGGUUU